GGAGAAGUACGAGCGGAUCCGAGUGGUGGGGAGAGGUGCCUUCGGGAUUGUGCACCUGUGCCUGCGAAAGGCUGACCAGAAGCUGGUGAUCAUCAAGCAGAUUCCAGUGGAACAGAUGACCAAGGAAGAGCGGCAGGCAGCCCAGAAUGAGUGCCAGGUCCUCAAGCUGCUCAACCACCCCAAUGUCAUUGAGUACUACGAGAACUUCCUGGAAGACAAAGCCCUUAUGAUCGCCAUGGAAUAUGCACCAGGCGGCACUCUGGCUGAGUUCAUCCAAAAGCGCUGUAAUUCCCUGCUGGAGGAGGAGACCAUCCUGCACUUCUUCGUGCAGAUCCUGCUUGCACUGCAUCAUGUGCACACCCACCUCAUCCUGCACCGAGACCUCAAGACCCAGAACAUCCUGCUUGACAAACACCGCAUGGUCGUCAAGAUCGGUGGUGGGUACCCCAUGCUAUAUCUCCCCUGAGCUGUGUGAGGGCAAGCCCUACAACCAGAAGAGUGACAUCUGGGCCCUGGGCUGUGUCCUCUACGAGCUGGCCAGCCUCAA
rnacentral:sRNA from 1 species